CUCUAACAAGUUUUUGUGGCUAUAAGUUAAGUUUUUUACAGGAUCACCUAUUCACCCCCCCUCUAGGUGCUCUCAACGACCACAGCCACCACCCGAGGAACCCCGUGAAGCCCCAGACCUGCGCCCAGCCUGAGAUCUCUGUUCUCAGCGCCCAGCCACAGUCUUCGUCGCGCGAGGGUAUGGCCAGGUGCGGCGCGCGCCCACGAUCUUCAGAAGCAUUGAGUUGGCUUAGGCGAUGGUGCGAUUGCGACCUCAAUCAACGGAGCGGAUCUCAAUUUUUUCCCUCUGCUAUCUGCACGCGAUGAUGGCUACAACCUGGCGGUCCUGCGGUCAGGGAGCGGCGAACGUUCCCAUUUAUAUUCCGAAUGCGAGGCCGAGGACCCGGCCAAACCCACGACCCGCCAAAAUCGCGGACGAGGCUAUUGCGCGGCCUGCGCGCUUACCGGAUCACUAGCCACCCCUUGACUCGGCUGGAAGGGAUAAGGAGGGAGACGACUCUGUCAUCCCGGCCCCACGCACUAGACACAGAUUAUCCCAAGCACGCGCGACAGAGAUAGCGGCUGGCGGCGCGGUGGGUCUGUUACGCGAGAGAGGAAUCCCAGUAGCACGGCCCCACAUGUCAUUUGGCCAGACCAGGGAAUGGAUCGUGGGCCACGGAAACGUAGGGUCGAGUUGGGCCAUGGGAAGAAAAUGAUGCUGGGCCACGGGGGAUUAUUCAACCCAGGCAGUGUUUUCUUUUUUUCCUCUAUUUGCCCAAAAACCCAUAAUUCAAAAUAGGUUUGAAUUGUUGAUUUGAAUUUCACUUCUCAUAUCCUAAUAGUACUUUAAUAUAAAUACUACUACCAAUGUUUUGCCAUAAUUUCUAUGGUAUUAUUAUUAUCAUUAUUAUUAUUAUUUUUAUUCAUUCCUCAAUUCCUUUGCUCCCAUAUCCUUCGGAGCACAAUUUAAAUCUAAAGCUAAUUUAUUUUGAUUAUAGGUUUUGGAUGAAUGCACAAACAUAGAAAUCCCAGCAUGAUGCAUAAGUUCAUGUUUUAUCUGGUAUUUAUUUAAAAUAAACUGUGUCACAUGAAUGAUUCUCAUAAACAAAAGAGUUUUUUUUCCAUGUUAUAAUGAGUAGAGGGCAAAACAUAUUUUGAGAUCAACUCUUUCUUUUUAUUUACAAAUUGGGUAUUACAAAUCCUACCCCCCUUAAAAAUAAUCUCGUCCUCGAGAUUUUGGAGGAACAAGGGAAAAGAUGGGGAAAAUCUAUGCGAAGCUCUUCUCUUUCCCAAGUUGCUUCAUCUUCCCCGUGGUGACUCCAUUGCACUUUGCACAUCUUUAUCACUUUAUUCCUUGUAACUCGAGUCAAAGUAUCAAGAAUCUUGAUAGGAUACUCCGUGUAAGUCAAAUCACCCUAAACACUGAGCUCUUCCAUUGGUAACUGUUCCUCAGAGACACGGAUACACUUCUUAAGUUGAGACACAUGGGGUACAUUAUGCACAUCAGGUAGAUUAUCACGUAGCUCGAGUUGAUAGGCCACCUCUCCAACUUGCCUAAAAACUCAGAAUGGUCCAAUAUAGCGAGGGGACAGUUUUCCCUUAACUUUGAAUCUUCUCAUACCCCGGAGCGGUGACACCUUCAAAUAGACAUAAUCUCCCUCCUUAAACUCUAGCAGUCUUCUCCGGGUGUCAGCAUAGCUUUUCUGCCUAGAUUGUGCAGUUCUCAAAUUCUCCCUUAUUUGCUAGACUUGUUCCUCUGCUUCCUGUAUAAUCUCAGGUCCAAACAACUGCCUUUCACCAGUUUGAUCCCAAUAUAAUGGAGUCCUGCACUUUCUGCCAUACAAAGCCUUGAACGGUGACAUCUUCAGACUGGCCUGGUAACUAUUAUUAUGUGAGAACUCAGCAUAAGGUAGACUCUUGUCCCAACUACUACCAUGUUGAAGGGCACAAGCUCUCAACAUGUCCUCCAAUACUUGAUUAGUCCUUUUAGUUUGUCCACUAGUCUGAGGAUAGUAAGCUGAACUAGAAUUCAACUUCGCAUUCAUAUUCUCAUGAAAACUUUUCCAAAAUCUGGGGGUAAACCGUGAUCCUCUAUCCAAAAUGAUCUUCUUCGGUACACCGUGUAGAGACAUAAUCCGAGCUAUAUAUAACUCUACCAAUUGAGAUCCCUUGUACGUAGUCUUGACCGGAAUGAAGUGAGCCACUUUGGUCAGUCUUUCCACAAUCACCCAUAUCUAAUCAUAUCCUUUCUGGGUGCAAGGCAAUCCAACAAUGAAGUCCAUGCCCAUCUCUUCCCAUUUCCACUCAGGUAUCUUCAGUGGAUGCAAUAGUCCGGCUGGCCUCUGGUGUUCAGCCUUAACUCUUUGGCACACAUCGCACAUAGCCACAUGUGCAGCCACAUCUCUCUUCAAUCCAUACCACCAAUAUUUCUGCUUCAAAUCUUGAUACAUCUUAGUGCUCCCAGGGUGGAUAGAAUAAACUGAGUCAUGUGCUUCCUUCAAUAUAGUUUCCCGAAGACUAUCAAUUUCGGGAACACAGAUCCGAUUCUUGAACCAUAUCGUGCCUUGCUCAUCCUCUGUGAACUCUGGGCCUCUACCUUCUGUUAUCAGAUCCUUGAUCUCCUGGAUUUUAGCAUCACCAAUCUGACCUUUACGAAUUUCUUGCUCCAAAGUAGGUUCCACAUCAAUAGUAACUCCUUCAGUAUGAGCAACUAUCCCCAGGUUAAGUCUCCUAAAAUCCUCAACAAUCUCAUCGGGUAGCUGGGCAACAAUAGCUGAAUGAACAUGCUCCUUGCGACUCAAGGCAUCUGCAACCAAAUUUGCCUUGCCCGGGUGAUAGUGAAUCUCCAAGUCGUAAUCCUUAAUAAGCUCCAACCAACGGCGUUGCCUAAGGUUGAGAUCCUUCUGAGUGAAUAUAUACCUCAAACUCUUAUGAUUUGUAUAUACUUGGCACUUAGUUCCCAUGAUGUAGUGUCUCCAAAUCUUAAGUGCAUGCACGACUGCUGCCAAUUCCAAGUCAUGAGUGGGGUAGUUCAAUUCAUGUUUCCGCAACUGACGAGAUGCAUAGGCGAUCACAUGUCCUUCUUGCAUGAGCACACAUCCAAAUCCUUGGCCACAUGCAUCACAGUAAAUGUCAAAUCCUUUCUGGAAGUCCGGCAUAACCAAUACUGGUGGCGACAUCAACCUCUUCUUCAAUAGAUCAAAGUUGUCUUGACACUUCUCGUCCCACUUAAAUUCUCUUCCUUUCUCCAAAAGCGAAGUAAUGGGUUUAGCAAUCUUAGAAAAUCCUUCAAUAAAUCUCCGAUAAUAGCCAGCAAGUCCCAAGAAACUCCGAAUCUCCGUAACUGUAGUGGGUAUGCUCCACACCACUAUCUCCUUGACUUUAGCAGGAUCCACUGAUAUCCCUCCAUUAGAAAUGAUAUGUCCAAGGAAUGACACCUCGUCAAUCCAAAACUCGCAUUUGCUAUACUUGGCGUAGAGUUGAUUAUCUCGUAACUUCUGUAGCACCAAUCUCAGAUGCUCCUCAUGAUCACUAUCACUCUUGAAAUAAAAUAAGAAUAUCGUCGAUGAAAACCACAACGAAUCUGUCCAGAUCAUGAACACCUUAUUCUUCAGAUCCAUAAAAUAGGCUGGUGCAUUAGUUAGUCCAAAUGACAUAAUAGUGAACUCAUAUAAACCAUAUCGGGUCGAUAAAAUUGUCUUGGGAAUGUCCGAUGGCCUAAUCUUCAUUUGAUGGUAUCUCGAUCGGAGAUCAAUCUCCGAGAAUACUCUUGCACCUCUUAUCCGAUUAAAUAAAUCUUCAAUGCGGGGUAAUGGAUAUUUGUUCUUCAUAGUGACACCAUUAAGUGACCUAUAGUCCACACACAUCCGUUGCGACCCAUCCUUCUUCUGCACAAAUAACACCGGUGCUCCCCAAGGUGAGGACUCGGAUAAAUGUACCCAGCCUCUUGUAACUCGGUUAACUGUUUCUUAAGUUCCUUUAACUCCUCUACGGACAUCCUGUAUGUUCCCUUAGAAAUAGGAGCAGUUCCAGGUAAGAGAUCUAUGACAAACUCAACUUCCAUAUCUGGUGGCAUCCCUGGUAACUCCUCUGGAAAGACAUCCGGAAAAUCUCUAACUGCACGGAUGUUGUCACCCACCAACUUCUCAUCUACUAAGAAUGCCGCUAGUCUGAUGGCGGUAGUUACUGCAACUCCAACUUCAAAUCUUUCUCCUCUGGAACUGGUGAGUUCUAUGGUUCCCUCAGCAUAGUGUAUAUACUGCCUUUGCCCUUCUUAACCAUGACAUACCAAGGAUCACAUAUAUAGUGCUCUCUUCUAACACUAUAGGGGUAGUCCAUCUAGGUUAGAAAUACAGGGUAAGAAAGCAAGGAUUGUAGACAAGGCGAGUACUUACGAGGAAUGUUACUGCGGGGGAUUUAUUAGCUAAGUAGAUUAGUGUGUUAUCCACUAAAACUAAUACAUUACCUUAUGGUGGUACAUGCUAAGAUGCCCGUCUAUACUAUUUCAAUCAAUCAAAGAAGCAAAUCAGGCAUUGAUCAUCAGAACAAUCAACCAACAUUUUUUUAAUAGAGAAAAUAGUUUUAAUUUUUGUCUUAGGUCUCCUAUUUCUUAAAAAGUUCAUAAAUGUAGGAUUCCAAGGUAUGAAAUCCAUCUUGUCUUAGAACAGAAAAGAUAAGAGUAAUUAGAGUAUGAUAGCAAAAGGUGAGACAGGAUCAGGACAAGAUGAGUAUAGAAAGAAUUAGAGUAAGGUAAGUAUGGAAUGAAUUAGAGUAAGAUAAGUAGGUAAGGGUUUAUCCACUUCUAUCUAGGUUUCAUCCUACAGUCAACAUUUCCUCUGAUACCACUUCUGUAACACCCGGUUUUAAAGGACAAAGCCGGGUGCAUCUUAUACAUGCGCCAAGAAGACAACAUAUACAAUAACAGAGUGUAUAGAGAUAAAUGUCACAAAACAUCAGAGUAUUUAUUACAUAGCGGAAGACUUAUUACAAAAUAAAGGAAUAAAUGUAAAACGAACUAAGGAUCAUCGGCGCCAAUGUCAACUGAGAAACGCCACCUAGAUCAGAACGAACUCCUCAGUGUUAGGUGGCUCCUCUUCGACCACCUGUUCUUCUCCUGUGGGGGGGUGUGAGACAGCAAGAGUGAGCUCACAUACGUUCAUAGCUCAACAAGUCGUGGGGAAUAAUGUGGCAUGAACUCACCAAAGGUGGGAGCUCAUGUAGUGUAAGGCUGAUCAAUGAAAUAAAGGCUGAGGCUGAGCAUUGCUUUUAUAAGUUGGUCAAAAUUUUAUUAGCAAUUACUAAGUGUAAGUAAAUACCAAACCUUAAUAAUAAUAAAGAACAGUAAUAGUAAAAUAAUCCCAAAUGCGAUGCAAUCGUCAAAUUGAAUUUAAGUUCCAUAAAUUAAUCAUGUGAGGGUCCGAGCCGCUCAUGACCGUGAGCACGGCUAGUAUACCAGUUUUACACUCUGCAGAGGUUGCACAUCUUUACCCACAAGUCAUGUUACCCAUCUGCCAAGAGAUGGCCAAUCCCAUACACCUCUACCGAGGAGGCGAGGCAGGGUAACACUACGAGGCCUUUACAAAGUUCCACUAGCUUCAGAAAUCCCGCUACAGUUUAUAGGAAGCUCCAGUGCAGGGUUCUUGCCUGACCGCCAUCGCAGCAAAAUCAAACAAGGACCUCCCUACCCUGACCACUCCCCUACUGCCCUUGCCCCUUUCGGGUAAGGAAGACCUCCACUAGCUUUCCUAGUUAAUCAGCCAAGGGCGUCCCAUUAAACCCUUGUGGUAGCACUGUUUUCCCGGGUGGUCGCUCCAUGUUCCCAUUAAUUUAAUGAUCUUAACAUGAACAGUAAUAAUAACAAGAUAAUAACAGAAUAAUCAUGAAUAGUGUAUCUCCAUACCCAAUCCACAUAAAGCAAUAGCAAGUACUACCCAAAAAUAUUUCAGGGGUGAACAAGGUAUAGAGGUAAUCAAAACUGGGGUAACAUAAAGGAUCCCAUCAAAAUUAACCUAUGCAGAUCAUUAAAAUUAAUAAGAACAUGGCUGGGAAAAGUAAGUGAUCAAGGGCACAACUUGCCUGGCACUUGAGAUUCCAGUUACCAGGGUGAUCUUCAGGUGACUCGAAACCUCGCUGCUAGUCGUAGCAAUACAAACAGAUAUGGUAUAGACAAAAUUAACAUUACAUCAAACAUAAGAGAAACUGCAUAAUAAUAAUCUACGCGUUGCUACGAGACUAACGGAACUUGAACGGAUCAAAUCGGAGUUAAAAUGGAGAAGUUAUGAAUUUCUUAAGGUUUUAUGCACUCAAUACAAGAUUAACCAAGAGAUUAAUUUUAAUACACUUUUCAUGUUAAACCAGAGGUACUAUGUGAUAAACAAUAAUAUUAUAGAAUUAUAGAAAUUGGAAUUAUUUGAUUUGGAGCUAGAUUGGAUUUUCUAUGAAUUAAAUAAGUUUCUGAAAAUAUUUUAACACUAGAAAUCAUUUUCUAAUUAAAUUUCAGAAUUUUCCUAGAUUCUGGACUGCGCGCAUAAAUACAGAGAGUAUCAGGGGCUAGCACGCAAAAACUCUAAGACUCAGGUUCCAGUACACUGGACUGCGGGUUGAUUCCAGUGUUUAUCAGGGUCUCUUUUGCAAAAUGUCCUGGAUCAAAGGGUCACGGUGCGCUCAGGGCCAUGGGAUCAUAAUUCAACGAUUGGGAUUAAAUCCCCGGUUAUCCCAACCGGUACGCACCCACGGCCACACGCUUCGAGAUCUAUGGCCAAAAUUUGAUGAAGGCGUGAUUCAAUCUAAUCCCUCCGAUCUGAUCUUAACGUCACUAGACCAAAAAGCGAAGGGGGUACGUGACCUUUAAUCCCGACCGUCUAUCCACAUCAACGGUCCAGACAUCAUCCGGACGAGAUCUCGUCCGAUCCGUUCACUUAACGAUCGACGGCCACGGACAUAUCUUCAACCCUCAGCUCGGCAGGACGGUGGUGCUUCCGCUGCCGUGAAGGCUUAAGCGCCGACAAGCAACAACCCCAGCGCACGCACUACGACGAGAGGAGGAGCAAGAACAACAUGGACGGAAAUUUACCGGUGGUCGAGCAGCAGAGAACUGAGCACACGGUACAUUGCGGGACCCUGGCCUCCCAUCGCCCACAGCUCCAGGAACCGAAGCACGCGCAUCAGGAACUCCUCGCCGAGUACCACCGAGAACCCCUGGAUCCACGCCCCGACGAGAAAUCAACGAGAUCCUGGUGCACCACUUCGACCAGGACGACCACAACCACCACCCGAGGAACCCCGUGAAGCCCCAGACCUGCGCCCAGCCUGAGAUCUCUGUUCUCAGCGCCCAGCCACAGUCUUCGUCGCGCGAGGGUAUGGCCAGGUGCGGCGCGCGCCCACGAUCUUCAGACGCAUUGAGUUGGCUUAGGC
rnacentral:lncRNA from 1 species